rnacentral:rRNA from 1 species
UACGUAGGGGGGCUAGCGUUGUCCGGAAUUAUUGGGCGUAAAGAGCUCGUAGGCGGUUUGUUGCGUCUAUCGUGAAAACCUGCAGCUUAACUGUGGGCUUGCGGUGGAUACGGGCAGACUUGAGUUCGGUAGGGGAGACUGGAAUUCCUGGUGUAGCGGUGGAAUGCGCAGAUAUCAGGAGGAACACCGGUGGCGAAGGCGGGUCUCUGGGCAGUAACUGACGCUGAGGAGCGAAAGCGUGGGUAGCAAACAGG